rnacentral:rRNA from 1 species
CGUACACUCCUACGGGAGGCAGCAGUGGGGAAUAUUGGACAAUGGGCGCAAGCCUGAUCCAGCCAUGCCGCGUGAGUGAUGAAGGCCCUAGGGUUGUAAAGCUCUUUCACCGGUGAAGAUAAUGACGGUAACCGGAGAAGAAGCCCCGGCUAACUUCGUGCCAGCAGCCGCGGUAAUACGAAGGGGGCUAGCGUUGUUCGGAUUUACUGGGCGUAAAGCGCACGUAGGCGGACUAUUAAGUCAGGGGUGAAAUCCCGGGGCUCAACCCCGGAACUGCCUUUGAUACUGGUAGUCUUGAGUGCGAGAGAGGUGAGUGGAAUUCCGAGUGUAGAGGUGAAAUUCGUAGAUAUUCGGAGGAACACCAGUGGCGAAGGCGGCUCACUGGCUCGAUACUGACGCUGAGGUGCGAAAGCGUGGGGAGCAAACAGGAUUAGAAACCCCGGUAGUCC